rnacentral:rRNA from 1 species
CCUACGGGGUGCAGCAGUGAGGAAUAUUGGUCAAUGGGCGCGAGCCUGAACCAGCCAAGUCGCGUGAAUGAUGACUGCCCUACGGGUUGUAAACUUCUUUUAUAAAGGAAUAAAGUGAGGCACGUGUGCCUUUUUGUAUGGACUUUAUGAAUAAGGAUCGGCUAACUCCUUGCCAGCAGCCGCGGUAAUACGGAGGAUCCGAGCGUUAUCCGGAUUUAUUGGGUUUAAAGGUAGCGUAGAUGGGUUGUUAAGUUCGUUGUGAAAGGUUUCGGCUGAACCGGAAAAUUGCAAUUGAGACUGGCAGUCUUGAGUACAGUUGAGGUAGGCGGAAUUCGUGGUGUAGCGGUGAAAUGCUUAGAUAUAACGAAGAACUCCGAUUGCGAAGGCAGCUUACUAAACUGCCACUGACAUUGAUGCUCGAAAGUGUGGGUAUCAAACAGGAUUAGAUACCCUAGUAGUC